GACGAACGCUGGCGGCGUGCUUAACACAUGCAAGUCGAACGGAAAGGCCCUGCUUGCAGGGUACUCGAGUGGCGAACGGGUGAGUAACACGUGGGUGAUCUGCCCUGCACUUCGGGAUAAGCCUGGGAAACUGGGUCUAAUACCGGAUAGGAGCCAUUUUUAGUGUGAUGGUUGGAAAGUUUUUUCGGUGUAGGAUGAGCUCGCGGCCUAUCAGCUUGUUGGUGGGGUAAUGGCCUACCAAGGCGGCGACGGGUAGCCGGCCUGAGAGGGUGGACGGCCACAUUGGGACUGAGAUACGGCCCAGACGCCUACGGGAGGCAGCAGUGGGGAAUAUUGCACAAUGGGCGCAAGCCUGAUGCAGCGACGCCGCGUGGGGGAUGACGGCCUUCGGGUUGUAAACUCCUUUCGCUAGGGACGAAGCUUUUUGUGACGGUACCUAGAUAAGAAGCACCGGCUAACUACGUG
rnacentral:rRNA from 1 species